rnacentral:rRNA from 1 species
GACGAACGCNGGCGGCGUGCUUAACACAUGCAAGUCGAACGAAGAGCGACGGAAGCUUGCUUCUAUCAAUCUUAGUGGCGAACGGGUGAGUAACGCGUAAUCAACCUGCCCUUCAGAGGGAGACAACAGUUGGAAACGACUGCUAAUACCGCAUACGAUCUAAUCUCGGCAUCGAGGAUAGAUGAAAGGUGGCCUCUACAUGUAAGCUAUCACUGAAGGAGGGGAUUGCGUCUGAUCAGCUAGUUGGAGGGGUAAUGGCCCACCAAGGCGAUGAUCAGUAGCCGGUCUGAGAGGAUGAACGGCCACAUUGGGACUGAGACACGGCCCAGACUCCUACGGGAGGCAGCAGUGGGGAAUCUUCCGCAAUGGACGAAAGUCUGACGGAGCAACGCCGCGUGAGUGAUGACGGCCUUCGGGUUGUAAAGCUCUGUUAAUCGGGACGAAAGGCCUUCUUGCGAAUAGUUAGGAGGAUGA